rnacentral:lncRNA from 10 species
CAUGAAAUUCUCUCCUUUAAGGUGCAAAAUUCAGUGGUUUUUAGUGUAUUUACAAAGUUGUGCAACUAUCUCCACUCUCUAAGUAUGGCACAUUUUAACUAUUCCGAAAAGAAUCCCCAUGCCCAGUAGCAGUCUGUCGCUAUCUUUCCUUCCCUCAGCCUCUGGCAGCCACUAAUCUAGUUCAGUCUGUAUGAAUUCGCUUAUUCUGGAGUUUUCCUUUUCUUCUUUUUUUGAGAUAGAGUCUCACUCUUUUGCCCAGGUUGGAGUGCAGUGACGUGAUAAUACCUCACUGCAGCCUUGACCUCCUAGGCUUGAACGAAUUUUCAGCCUCAGCCUUUUGAAGUGCUGGGAUUACAGGCGUGGGCCAUUGCGCCCAACCCUCUUGGCUCUUUUGUACCUUGUUCCCUAGUGGUUUGCUUACACGAAAUCCUACCUGAUGGUAAUAUAGAUUUCCUUCUAACAUUUUAUAGGAAAAUUUCAAUAUACCAAAAAAUUGAAUUGUACAGUGAACACCUGUCUAUCCACCACUUAUCUUCUGGAUUAACAGUUUUCUAUAUGUGCUUUAUCACAUACCUGUGAUGGUAUACUCAUUUUUAAUUAAUCCAUAUUUGUGUAUUUAAUGGGAAUUGGUAGCAGCCGAAGCAAACUCUCUUGGAGUGACAAAAUCUGUGCAGAGGAGAAAUA